CGUCGAUUUUAUAAUUCCACCAUGGUUUUCCUAAUUUAAAAUGUGUUCUUUUUAUUUCUUUCAAUGCUUAUGAUAUCCGAUGCCGUAUUUAGCGACAGCGAAGAUGAGACAGAAAAGGGACAGGUAUGUAUAAUUUUAUUUCAACUUAUUUUCAAAUUAAAAUCGUUAUCAUGGCGAAUGUACGCAUAAUAUGAUAUACACUUUAUGAAAAAAAGCAAUAAAGGUUACGUUCAAGUGCGUAAAACAAGUAUUACCAUUCCUUAAAACCACAAAGGAAUUUCCAAUAUUGCAAACGUGUAUUUUCAGCACAUUUUUCAUUCCACGCAUGUAUCUAUUUUCUCCCCGAGUGUGAUAGAUAUAUGAUAUAUGUACAUUGUCGGAAAAUAUACAACUUAUGUGUAUGAGCAUUCGAAACAUGACGAAAAACUAACUUCGCCGAGCUUUUCUCAGACUCGUAGCAAGUACUUAUAUUUGUUUUCUCCGAAAAUAAACGUAUAUUAUUUUUAUCCUGAAAUUUACACCAUUCACUUGAAAUUUUAGUUGUAUAAAAUCUAAAAAAUUUGUCCCUUAUUUUUCAAAGAAUUUGACAUGUAGCUUAACGCGGACCCCAAAAAUUAACUGUUACGUAAAAAAAGGAAUAUCCGCAUUACCGCUCGUUCAAUAUGGAAGUCGGACAACAGAACAUUAAUUUGAACAAGUAGAAAUAAAGCAACAACAAAAAUAUUAGUGUACCUGUUGUUUGUACAAUAGUUGGCUGAUUGCAGGAUAAAGGAAAUAUAAUAUAUAAGCGAAUAUACAAACACCGUUUAACUUUAUUUAAAAACGUUGAUCGAUUAACUGAUAAUUGCAUGCUUAACGUUUAGUUGCAUGUUUUUGAAAUACAAAAAAGUAGCAGUUUAUACUGUAUAGCUGUCCAUUAUUAAGUAUCCUUCAAGGCAACGUAUUUAUUCGUAUACUAGAUAACAUUUUACAAAUAGAACUAGACAGAUGCAUCUUAUACUAGAUAAGGGAUCCUCCAUUUGAUUUUUAUGGGGGGAGGGGGGGGGGGGGUGCUAGGAUGAAAUUUGAAAAAAAUAGGCAGGACAGGAGUUUUGAGUUAAAAAAAAAAAAGGCAGGAUGAGACACUUGCAAAAAAGUCAGGAUGACAAUUUAUGUAAAAAAAGUCAGGAUAAACUAAGAAAAAAAAAGCAGGACCGGAUAAAGUGAAAAAUAAAAAGGCAGGACAGAGAUUAAAACUAAAAAAAAAUGCAGGACAAGAUUUUUCAUCCUAGCCCCCCCCCCCUAAAAAUCAAAUGGUAGCUCCCUAACAUUUUACAAAUAUAACUAGACAGAUGCAUCCUGAUACCUCUGCACGCAGAAUACAUAUGUAUAGUAUGUGAUUCUAGUACUGUCAACGGUACAGAACAUUUUCUUUUUUCCCAUUGCAAUGAAUAAAGACGAUAGAAUGUCUAUGUUGUCUAAAAUUGCUAAAUUGCAAAAGUUACUGACAGGGC
rnacentral:lncRNA from 1 species